rnacentral:rRNA from 1 species
UACAGAGGUCUCAAGCGUUGUUCGGAUUUAUUGGGCGUAAAGGGUGCGUAGGCGGUUACGUAAGUCGGAUGUGAAAUCUCGGAGCUCAACUCCGAAACGGCAUUGGAAACUGCGUUGCUAGAGGGUUGGAGGGGGGACUGGAAUGCUUGGUGUAGCAGUGAAAUGCGUAGAUAUCAAGCGGAACACCAGUGGCGAAGGCGAGUCCCUGGACAACACCUGACACUGAGGCACGAAAGCUAGGGGAGCAAACAGG